UACGGAGGGGGCUAGCGUUGUUCGGAAUUACUGGGCGUAAAGCGCGCGUAGGCGGACCUGCAAGUCGGGGGUGAAAGCCCGAGGCUCAACCUCGGAACUGCCUUCGAUACUGCGGGUCUCGAGUCCGGUAGAGGUGAGUGGAAUUCCUAGUGUAGAGGUGAAAUUCGUAGAUAUUAGGAAGAACACCAGUGGCGAAGGCGGCUCGCUGGCCCGGUACUGACGCUGAGGCGCGAAAGCGUGGGGAGCAAACAGG
rnacentral:rRNA from 1 species